rnacentral:rRNA from 1 species
UACAUGGGGUGCAAACGUUUGCUCGGGAAUUAUUGGGCGUAAAGCGCACGUAAGGCGGUUCGUUAAGUCGGAUGUGAAAGCCCUCGGCUCAACCAAGGAAGUGCCUUUCGAAACUGCUGAGCUUGAGUAACUUAAGAGGAUCGCGGGAAAUUCCCGGUGUAGAGGUGAAAUGCGCAGAUAUCAGGAGGAACACCGGCGGGCGAAGGCGGGUCUCUGGGCCGGUAAACUGACGCUGGGAG